rnacentral:misc_RNA from 1 species
GGAACAAAUAAUAGUAGUAGUAAUGCUCUUAUGAGACUACCACCUUCUAAGGCAAUAAGAAAGAAAUAUGGAAAUGAACUUGUUGAUAUUAAGAGUGUUCCAUCUAAAUCAGAUGCAAUUGUUUGAUUUGAUCUAUUAAUUUCUUUGUUAUAUUUUGAGAUUGGUUCAAUAUGGGGAUGAGCACCCAUUAGAGAGAAUUGUAUGAUUGUUUGUUGGGUGGGGGGAGGAAUUGAAUGAGCUAGAGAUUGUGUGUUUG